GGAAAAGUGACUGAGCGGUUUAAAGUGUUAGUUUUGAAAACUAUUGUAUUUGUUAAUAAAAUACCGUGGGUUCAAAUCCCACCUUUUCUU
rnacentral:tRNA from 1 species